GCCAGUGUGGUGUAGUGGUUUGAGCAUUGGGCUCAGACUCUGGAGACCAGGGUUCGAAUCCCAGCUUGGCCA